GAUGAACGCUGGCGGCGUGCUUAACACAUGCAAGUCGAACGGUGAAGCAGGAGCUUGCUCUUGUGGAUCAGUGGCGAACGGGUGAGUAACACGUGAGCAACCUGCCCCUGACUCUGGGAUAAGCGCUGGAAACGGCGUCUAAUACUGGAUAUGUGAUGUGACCGCAUGGUCUGCAUCUGGAAAGAAUUUCGGUUGGGGAUGGGCUCGCGGCCUAUCAGCUUGUUGGUGAGGUAAUGGCUCACCAAGGCGUCGACGGGUAGCCGGCCUGAGACGAUGACCGGCCACACUGGGAGUGGGACACGGCCAAGACUCCUACGGGAGGCACCAGUGGGGAAUGUUGCACAAUGGGGGGAAGCCUGAUGCAGCGACGCCGCGUGGGGAUGACGGCCUUCGGGUUGUAAACCUCUUUUAGCAGGGAAAAAGCGAAAGUGACGGUACCUGCAGAAAAAGCACCGGCUAACUACGUGCCAGCCGCCGCCGUAA
rnacentral:rRNA from 1 species